CAGCCAUGCCGCGUGUGUGAAGAAGGCCUUUUGGUUGUAAAGCACUUUAAGCGAGGAGGAGGCUACCUAGAUUAAUACUCUGGGAUAGUGGACGUUACUCGCAGAAUAAGCACCGGCUAACUCUGUGCCAGCAGCCGCGGUAAUACAGAGGGUGCGAGCGUUAAUCGGAUUUACUGGGCGUAAAGCGUGCGUAGGCGGCUGAUUAAGUCGGAUGUGAAAUCCCUGAGCUUAACUUAGGAAUUGCAUUCGAUACUGGUCAGCUAGAGUAUGGGAGAGGAUGGUAGAAUUCCAGGUGUAGCGGUGAAAUGCGUAGAGAUCUGGAGGAAUACCGAUGGCGAAGGCAGCCAUCUGGCCUAAUACUGACGCUGAGGUACGAAAGCAUGGGGAGCAAACAGGAUUAGAUACCCUGGUAGUCCAUGCCGUAAACGAUGUCUACUAGCCGUUGGGGUCUUUGAGGCUUUAGUGGCGCAGCUAACGCGAUAAGUAGACCGCCUGGGGAGUACGGUCGCAAGACUAAAACUCAAAUGAAUUGACGGA
rnacentral:rRNA from 1 species